rnacentral:lncRNA from 1 species
CGACGAUGAUGAUUGUGAUGAUGCUGAUGAUGUCUAAUUAAGACGACAGGCAACAAACCACUAGACCACGGAGUGGAGAAGAAGAAGAAGGAGAAAGAGGACAACAACGAGAUCAGACGAUGAAGACACAACAGAACUGGAACAGCCAUCCGGAAAAACGGAAGAACGAUGGCGGACACCGGACCGGACGCUGACGCGACAAUCGUUUGUGCCUCAGUAGUACGCGAGCGUCUGCUAGUAAACCUAAUUGAAUAUCAAUUAUUAUUUCUACUAUUACCACAACUAGCGCUAUAAAAAAAUAUGAUAUUUGAUGCGACGAGAAAAAAACUCAGACGAUAUGAUGAGGAUGAUUAUUAUGACCGUAAUAGAACCGCUGUGAAUCUACAAACAAACGAAGCAUAUGAUAGAUCUUUUGGAUAGAAGUAGUUGCCAGAAAAACAAGCGGAUAAACGAGCAUAUAGCAACAACUUACCACUGAAGUUAAACAAUCCACUGUGUCGCAACUGAGCGCCGGUGAAACACAAGCAGAACAUAGACGCACUUCCGUUGAUCGCCUCUAUUUGAGACAUUUUUCCUACUAGUAGCAGUAGUUACGUGCUACGCAGCUCGCUAGCCGUUGACGUUAUUCUAGCCGGAACGACGAUUGUCUAUUUCAUAAUUAGACACAAACUAUAUAUAGACAUCAUUACCAAAAAUAGUGAACGAAAGAAGGACAACGCUGCGAGAGAAAGUGUUAAUACCGCACGUGAUCGGAACGCCCCAAUAGCGGCAAACCAAGCCCACGCUCGUGUAACAGUUCUGAACGAUCCGCAACGUAAAAUGUAUAGGCAGACGCACUCUGGUUCACAUAUAAGGACACAUACACUUAUGGCUAGGUAGGUAGAUGAAUAGCCGCUAUCUGUGGCGAGAGUGAAUGCUAGAUAUUUACAAGCGACGAGAGAUAAGUACAGGUAAGAAUGCGAAUCAUAGAAGUUCCAGAAACUGUAAAAGAGAGACAGCUGAGCUAUAGUAGUAAAUAUUAUCAUUUUAAAAUGAACGGAAGCGCGAGCAAACCUAGGCUAGGAAAAGUUACAGAAAUAUGAUGAAAGAUGGUAUCAGCAACAUAACAACAGCACAUAUAUACGUCCGCACUCUUUGAUAAUCAUUUGAUAAGUGAUGAUAAUAAUUAAUGAUGAACCACAAGUAAGAUGUUCAUAACAAAAAACAAACACACACACACACACAAACACUAUUUGACAGCUGUUGCCACCGCCGAUCUGCUUUCGUAAUUCAGAAACAGUUGUAAGCGGGUGGGCACAUUACCUUACGCCUACCUUUAAUAUAUAUAUAUAUAUAUAUACAUAUAUAUAUAUAUAUAUAUACAUAUAUAUAUAUAUAUAUAUAUGCCGUUGAACUGUGAAAAGUUAAGGAAAAAUAUCUAUUUGAAAAGGCCGUUGUUCUGGCCGAGUUUACACAGGUAGACUCAUUACAUGCCCCUAACUGCUAGAGUUCAAUAAAAUGGGACGGAAAUGAUGAAGACCCCGCUGAGAAAAAAAAGUUUAGUAAUAGCCGACGUUCUUUUAAUGAUAAAAAAAACUAGGUUAGAGGAAUAAGGGCGCCUUUGAUAGGGCAAACCGUUCUAGAGUACAAUGCACAUUCGAAGAGAAAGAAUAACAAUGAAGGAACUAUCGGUCCUUGCUAGAGAGCAUCGGGUUCACACAACCAAAAGCGUCAACUAAAAAAGAAAUAUGGCCAAUUGUUUGCUUUUUUGGCCGUUUGCACAUGCCACACAAAAUAACAGAUAGAAGUCAAGUUUAUUUAUAAGAGAUAUAAAGGGAAACGGUGCAACAAAGGAUGCUAAAGCGAACCUUUAAGCGUUGUUGUAUUUAAUUCGAUUCAUUCAGUGGGAAGAUGCCUAGAUGAUGAGGUUAAUGUUCGAUCGCCGACUUUCAGUUGUGUGUGUGAGCAAUAUUUAUAUUAAAUAGAAGUUCCUUAUAAUUUCUGUUUCGCUCUAUUACGUCUAGACAGACUGAUUUGAUAAGUUUUAUUUUAUGGAAAAAGAGAAAAAACUUUGUUUUUCGGUAAGUUUGAUCUAGAUUUUUUAUGAUUAUUAAGAUAGUCGACUCUGUUCAUAUAUAAAUAGUCUAUGUAGUUAAGAUCGUUCUUCACAAAUAAGUACCGAUUGUAGACAAAUUUUCUAUGUUUGGUUUGUGUAAAAAAAAAACGCGUACGUGCCCUUUGUUUAAUGAUUACGUCCUAAUAUAUAUGUGCUCGAGACCUUUUUACUUCGCAAUAGUUCCUCACCCCUCUUGUUUAUUAGGCCAGAUUUCAAUUCUGGCUGGGUGGCGGACAUGGUGUUGCCCCCAUCUGAUGUGUUUUUCGUUGCCAAGAUUUCGCAGAGCAGGUGGGAACAGAAAUUUAUUGUUGAACGUAAAUAACUAUGUGGUGAAAGAAAUAUUGAAACAGAAAGCAUAUUGUAUAAAUAACUGAUAAUUAGAGACCCUGCCCAAGGAGUUGUUCGGAUUUCCGGGGUUAAGGCAGAAGCCUUGUUGACCAAGUGCAAACAACCCCGCACUACUAUUACAGCUAGUAAGAUAAAAAGGUCAAGAAGGCUUCUGUUAAGGGCAGGUCACGUUGUGGGUACGCUGCUCUGGUGCUGACAGACAAACAUACAGUCAUUAUUUACACUGUACAAUAUUUAGAGCGGGUGGUAUUUUCCCACCGCGCCUAUGGGCGUUACUUCUCUACAUGAAACGUUAUAACCCUAUAUUCAUGCAGGUAUCAUCACGGUGGUAAUAUGGUCGACUGACAUAGAGGCACCAGUACGGAAGUGUGCGAAGUCGUUGGUUACGAGAGACAUGACAGACAAUACAACUUUUCCAGUCGAAACGAAAUAGUGCCGUCACACAUACAAGAUUGAGAAGAGAUCAUAUAUAUAUAUAUAUAUAUAUAUAUAUAUAUAUAUAAAGAAGACGGCAAGAAAAUACGAAAUGGUGUCCUUACAUUGCAUCACCUUUUUUUAGCUAUUUGAUCGUUAAAAAAGCAAUUUGUAGCUUUCUGGUCGUUUCCCGUUGACGAUAAACAACGCCAAAACUUAAGCGGAUUUGUAACUGCCUUGCUCAUGCCUCAAUGAGUAGCGUUUCUACUAAGAUAAGUGCUAUAUAUAAUAUUAAUUUACUGACUAGAAUAGCAAAUCAUGCGAGACGAAAUGUGUGGAGCGUGAUAUAGGUGUGUGGCGUUGUGUCAUAGACACCUUGACGAACACAGUUUCGUCUACGAACGCCAAAAGCAGACCGCGAUGAAAGUAUUCGGAGGACGGGAAAAUUCAAGCGGAUACAACGCCCAGUGAGUAGAGAGUGAUCUGAGUUUCGCCUAAGGCGCGUCCAUGUACGCUUUGUUGUAACAGUCCACAGAUUUGUGAGUUAUGACUGAGGGGCUUCCUCAAAGACAAUGAAGCAAAAAAUAGAAAACAGAAUACGUUUAUUUCAAAGGGACGACAAAGUUUGUCCUUGAUGAGCACGUAAAGGCACAGCUGGCGAGGAGUUUUAGAGCUAUGGCCUAACCCACGCCUAGGCUAGAAGGGUAGCAAAAGAAGCCAGUUUUUGCGCCUCUCUUAGUAAAUUAAUGUCUGGGCAUCGUGUGUAUUUUAAACAGUUUUAUAACACUAGCCGUUAAUUGGUGUCCCCCUUCGAUCCGUCGUUUCCUGCCAACGCAUGAAUGCGAAUGAUAAUAUGUUAACCCCGUGUUGACAGCUGACGACAGGCGAGUGACAGACGCAGGAUCGUGGCGCCAAAUUCAAACUGACUUUCUUCUUGUCAUUAGUCAGGUCCUGUACUAUUCUAGUACCGCCGUUAUUUGCCCCAUUAAUACCGCAUCACCAUCAAAUAAAGACUAAUUAUAUUAUGGAAAUGAACUAUAUCUGUAAUAAUAAUUGUCUCGAAUCUAUGGAAUAUUCUAACUUAUUGAUUUAUACUAUUUCGCAGAAAUGAGAGCAUGUAUGUAAGCCGACGAUGACGAACCAGUAGCGAAUGUCUCAGGCUGUUUCCAUUCGGUCAGAAAUGGGAGCAGCGAUAUGAACUCUACAAACUGUAUUUUAGGCUCCAAAGCUAUUUGUGACGGGUGACUUCUGAAGCUUCUCCUGAGUUAACUGCAAAAGGCAGAUUGUUAAUUACAGCUGAAGACUGACGUGAGGGAACGUGAAAGGUUUCUUAGAUGAUUUAGCAGUUGUUGCUGCUGCGGCGGCGGCGGUGAUACGCCGGAGAAUUAUUUUGAUAGUCGCCCGUCGUUUGACAAACUCAGCCGUAUCUCUCGUCAUGUGAUGAUCAAACAAGAAAGCAUUAACUUGACAGUAAUAUCGAGGAUCACAUACAAUAUUAUAACGGUGAUAAGUAUCACGAUGAUAAUCGCUUUUAAAAAGUAUAUUUGAAGAAAGGUAUGCAAAGGAAGCUUACCGAUAUCAUUUGUAACGGCUGUAAUACUCUGGACUUUUGACAGAGCUGUAACAGUGUUCAACGUGUGUCUCAAAAGUACCGAGAUCAAUUGACCCAUCAUCGCCAGCCUCGUAUGUUCGGAACGGUUACGGCUUCAUGAUCCGGGGGAAAGGGGGUAUUGGGUAUUCGGUACUCGUGACCAGGCAGCGAAUUUGUGAACGAAGGUACGCACUUUGAGUUCGAAGAGCCAUAAAACGAUUGGAAAUCAACUGAUUGACACCAACAUUGGUCUUGGAACCAGGCGAUUGAGAUCGCAUACUUUCCUAUACCCCAAAACUUAUGCUUGAAGUUGCGAUGGAUCGACUAACGCAUAUAGGACCGAAGGAGAGCUAUGAUAAGUGGGCGAUACUGCGAGGAAGCAAUAGAAUUAUCUACGUGAAUGGUUUUCAUUUUACACUACAUUCUAGCGAAAAAAAUCAUAAGUUAGAGCAACUAGUGUGACGCUGUAAAAGAUCAAGGGGCAAUUACAAUGUUCAAUCUAGGUUAAUGAUGCUUUGGGGGAAAUAUCUAGUUGCCCGAACUCGGGAAGCUUGCUUAGGAAUGAAUUAUUUUUUUUUUGUAUCGAAUAUUAACAAUCGCACAAAGUACUCUCACAAACGCGCCGCACAGUUUACUCCAUAUACAAUCACUUAUCAGCCGCUGUUGUCAACACGAUCCCGUCAGCCCACGCUUAAAUAAGACAACUGAGCGACAUUGCAUAAAGGCGUUACUUGUGCUCGGAUAAAAAAAAGUAAAUAGCCAUAGUUAGAGUUUAGGAAGCGGAAAAGUUGUUGGACACCGACUCUUUGUUUCAAUUACAGCGUAAAGUUGUAGCGGCUAUUGCUACACAAAUAACAUACUACUAUGAUACAGAAAUUCAGUGAGUGAUUGAAAACAAAUAGAUAUUGUAUGUAUCUAAUAAAUGUGGCCAACGACGAUCUUGCGUAUCGUUGUUUCGGAUUCAACUGAA